rnacentral:rRNA from 1 species
GACGAACGCUGGCGGCGUGCUUAACACAUGCAAGUCGAACGGAAAGGCCCUGCUUUUGUGGGGUGCUCGAGUGGCGAACGGGUGAGUAACACGUGAGUAACCUGCCCUUGACUUUGGGAUAACUUCAGGAAACUGGGGCUAAUACCGGAUAGGAGCUCCUGCUGCAUGGUGGGGGUUGGAAAGUUUCGGCGGUUGGGGAUGGACUCGCGGCUUAUCAGCUUGUUGGUGGGGUAGUGGCUUACCAAGGCUUUGACGGGUAGCCGGCCUGAGAGGGUGACCGGCCACAUUGGGACUGCGAUACGGCCCAGACUCCUACGGGAGGCAGCAGUGGGGAAUAUUGCACAAUGGGCGGAAGCCUGAUGCAGCAACGCCGCGUGCGGGAUGACGGCCUUCGGGUUGUAAACCGCUUUCGCCUGUGACGAAGCGUGAGUGGCGGUAAUGGGUAAAGAAGCACCGGCUAACUACGUG